rnacentral:rRNA from 1 species
UACAGAGGUCUCAAGCGUUGUUCGGAUUCAUUGGGCGUAAAGAGCUCGUAGGCGGUCUGUCGCGUCUGCUGUGAAAACUCGGGGCUUAACCCCGGGCCUGCAGUGGGUACGGGCAGACUAGAGUGCGGUAGGGGAGACUGGAAUUCCUGGUGUAGCGGUGAAUGCGCAGAUAUCAGGAGGAACACCGGUGGCGAAGGCGGGUCUCUGGGCCGUAACUGACGCUGGAGGAGCGAAAGCAUGGGGAGCGAACAGG